UACGGGGGGGGCAAGCGUUGUUCGGAAUUACUGGGCGUAAAGGGCUCGUAGGUGGCCAACUAAGUCAGACGUGAAAUCCCCAGGCUCAACUUGGGAACUGCGUCUGAUACUGGAUGGCUUGAAUUCGGGAGAGGGAUGCAGAACUCCAGGUGUAGCGGUGAAAUGCGUAGAUAUCUGGAGGAAUACCGGUGGCGAAGGCGGCAUCCUGGACCGAGAUUGACACUGAAAAGCGAAAGCCAGGGGAGCAAACGGG
rnacentral:rRNA from 1 species